GACGAACGCUGGCGGCGGGCUUAACACAUGCAAGUCGAACGGAAGGGCCCUGCUUUUGUGGGGUGCUCGAGUGGCGAACGGGUGAGCAACACGUGAGUAACCUGCGCUUGACUGGGGGAUAUCUUCAGGAAACUGGGGCUAAUACCGGAUAGGAGCUGCUGCAGCAUGGGGGGGGUCGGAAAGUUUCGGCGGUGGGGGAUGGACGCGCGGCUUAUCAGCUUGUUGGUGGAGGAGUGGCUUAGCAAGGCUUCGACGGGUAGCCGGCCUGAGAGGGUGGCCAGCCACCUUGCGACUGCGGUACGGCGCAGACUCCAACGGGGGGCAGCAGUCGAGAACCUUGCCCAAUGGGGCGGAGCCUGUUGCAGCAACGCCGCGUGCGGGAUGCCCGCCAUCUGGUUGUGAACCGCUUUCACCUGUGACGAAGCGUUAGUGACGGUAAUGGGUAAAGAAGCACCGGCUAACUACGUG
rnacentral:rRNA from 1 species